rnacentral:rRNA from 1 species
UACGAGGUUGAUAGGCUGCGUGUGUAAGUGCCGUGAGGCAUUCAGCUUGGCAGUACUAAUAGGUCGAGGGCUUGACCAU